rnacentral:lncRNA from 1 species
GGAAAGGCCACACGAGGACACAGCGAGAAGGGUUGGUUAAGAGCUGGGUGGACAGCACAAUCACAGGCGAUGAGACACGAAGGGAAGUUUGCUGGGGGCUCUGGGAAAGGCUGCUUGACUCUUACAAAGAGGCUUCAUGAGAUAGUGCCCCUGCUCUUUCUCUGGAGGUAGCUGGAUCUGAGAGUGAUGCCAGGACCUCUGCAGCCAUCUUGUGUUCAUGAGGAGAGUCUGCCCAGGGACAAAGCCAAUAUGCAGGGAAGAACACAGAGGAGCAGGUCCAGACCCCUGGAGGCAUCUCAUCAGGGCACCUUCCCCCUGGGCUUCCCACGAGGUGACACAAUGGAUGUCGUGAGCCUUUCAGGCAUCUAAGUCAGGUGAGAGUACCUAAACCACCAAACUCCAUUCAGGGCAGCUAUUUCCUUUUUUUUUUUUUUUUUUUUGGUGAGGAAGAUUGGCCCUGAGCUAACAUUUGUUGCCAAUCUUCUUCUUUUUCUUUAGGAAGAUUGUUGCUGAGGUAACAUCUGUGCCAACCUUCCUCUAUUUUGCAUGUGGGAUGCUGCCACAGUGUGGCUUGAUAAGCAGUGUGUAGGCCCGACCCCAGGAUCCAAACUCGUGAUCCAGGGUCGUCAAAGCAGAAUGUGCGAAAUUAACCACUACACCACCGGGCCAGCUCCAGCUAUUUCCUUUUCUGUUUUCUAAAUUUAUAAACCAACUGCUUUAAUAAACAGCUUUUUAAAGAAAAUUUUUUCUACCAUUUGACACAUAUCCUCAGGUAGAUUCUCAGAAGCAGAAUUACAGGAUGAGAUGGUAUUAAUUUUUAGAGUUGCUUGAUUCAUAUUUUCAUUUGCCUUCCAGUUGGCAGCUCUACAGUCUUAA